rnacentral:rRNA from 1 species
GACGAACGCUGGCGGCGCGCUUAACACAUGCAAGUCGAGCGAAGCGGCGGACGGGUGAGUAACACGUGAGUAACCUGCCUUAGACAUUGGGAUAGCCUCGGGAAACCGGGAUUAAUACCAAAUGGUCUAAGAUGGACUCGCGUCCCCUUAGCUAGUUGGUGAGGUAACGGCCCACCAAGGCGACGAUGGGUAGCCGGCCUGGGAGGGUGAACUGCCACUUUGGCACUGAGAAGCAGUCCAAACUCUACGGGAGGCAGCAGUGGGGGAUAUAGCACAAUGGAGGGAACUCUGAUGCAGCGACGCCGCGUAAACGAAGAAGGCUUUCGAGUCGUAAAGUUCUUUUAUAUGGGAAGCGGUACCAGAAGAAAAAGCCCCGGCUAACUACGUGCCAGCAGCCGCGGUAAUAC